rnacentral:rRNA from 1 species
UACGUAAGUGGCGAGCGUUAUCCGGAAUUACUGGGCGUAAAGCGUGUGUAGGCGGUUUAGUGUGUGGGAAUUGAAAGCCCGGGGCUCAACUCCGGAUCCGGUUCCCAAACUGCUAGACUCGAGAGUAUCAGAGGAGAGCGGAAUUCCCGGUGUAGCGGUAAUAUGCGUAGAGAUCCGGAAGAACACCGGAGGCGAAGGCGGCUUGCUGGGCUCGGUCUGACGCUGAGGCGCGAAAGCGUGGGGAGCGAACAGG